rnacentral:tRNA from 1 species
GGAAGGUUCGCAUAGUGGUCUAUUGCGCCGCAUUCGAAAUGCGGUUGGGGAGAAAUCCCCUCGGAGGUUCGAAUCCUCCACCUUCCG